rnacentral:rRNA from 1 species
AUUGAACGCUGGCGGCAGGCCUAACACCUGCAAGUCGAACGAGUGGCGGACGGGUGAGUAAUGUCUGGGAACCUGCCCGAUGGAGGGGGAUAACUACUGGAACCGGUAGCUAAUACCGCAUACCAUCGGAUGUGCCCAGAUGGGAUUAGCUAGUAGGUGGGGUAACGGCUCACCUAGGCGACGAUCCCUAGCUGGUCUGAGAGUAUGACCGGCCACACUGGAACUGAGACACGGUCCAGACUCCUACGGGAGGCAGCAGUGGGGAAUAUUGAACAAUGGGCGCAAGCUUGAGGCAGCCAUGCGGCGUGUAUGAAGAAGGCCGUCGGGGUGUAAAGUAUUUUCAGCGAGGAGGCGUGACUCGCAGAAGAAGCACCGUCGAACUCCGGGCCAGCAGCCGCGGUAAUUA